rnacentral:rRNA from 1 species
UACGAAGGGGGCUAGCGUUGCUCGGAAUUACUGGGCGUAAAGCGCACGUAGGCGGUCUUUUAAGUCGGGGGUGAAAUCCUGGAGCUCAACUCCAGAACUGCCUUCGAUACUGGAAGACUCGAGUCCGGGAGAGGUGAGUGGAACUGCGAGUGUAGAGGUGAAAUUCGUAGAUAUUAGGAAGAACACCAGUGGCGAAGGCGGCUUACUGGUCCGGAACUGACGCUGAGGUGCGAAAGCGUGGGGAGCAAACAGG